CUGCUGAUAGAUGAGGUAGUGCCCUCUGAUGGUGGGCUGUAUUCCUGCAAUGGCUGUCAGCAUUUGUGGAAAUGCAUCAAGAGAUGCUGCAGUACACACCCGGCCCAGUUCACCUCACGACCUGUCAGUCUCACCUGGCCUGAGCUCAGUCCUCUUCUCCCUCAAAACCCCGCCCAUCAGUGGAGGAACACCAAUCACAAGCUUUGUCCUGCAGUGGAGGCAAAGUGCAGCAGAACAGUGGAAGGAGGUCACAGUACCAGCUUCAGAGCUGCUAGUUAUCUCAUCCCUCAAGCCAUACAUAUUGUACACAGUGCAUUUGGCCGCCCUUAAUGCAGUGGGACUGGGGCCAUUCUCACACACAAGCA